CGCAGGCCUUCGCAAGAUGGCGGCUGGAGGCAAGGGCAGAGGCCUUCAGAGCGUUUUCUUUUUCCCUUUCCUCCCUUCCUGCAAACAAUUGAGGAAACUGAGGCACUGGAAGAUGAAGGCUACAGAGGUAGAAAGUGAUGGAGGAGAUACAUCCAGAAGACUGCAUUACAAUUUCAAAUCAAAGCUGGACAAGUUUUUUUUUUUUUUUACACAGAUAUCACCAUGUUAGAAAAGUUGGACAAGUUUUGAAACCAUUCUGAACCUAUCAUUCCUGUCUUUCAAAUCCUUCCAAGGCAUCUUAUUAUUGAUUUGUUUCUAUAUUUUCCUCAUUAUUAAAGAGGUUGAGUAUCUUUUCUCUAGAGCUAGUUUGGGUUCUGAUUUUCUUCACUUUCGUGAUGGAGUCAUUUUAGAAUUGAAGGGCAUCAUAGCAACUGAGGCAGUGUUGACAUCAUCAA
rnacentral:lncRNA from 10 species